GAUGAACGCUGGCGGCGUGCCUAAUACAUGCAAGUCGAACGGAGAUAUUGUAGCAAUACGGUAUUUUAGUGGCGAACGGGUGAGUAACGCGUUGGUGACCUGCCCCGAAGAGGGGGGAUAACAGUCCGAAAGGAUUGCUAAUACCCCAUGUGGUCAUAGAGGUUAGAGGCUUUAUGACUAAAGCAGCAAUGCGCUUCGGGAGGGACCUGCGUCCCAUCAGCUAGUUGGUAGGGUAAUGGCCUACCAAGGCGAUGACGGGUAGGGGGCCUGAGAGGGUGGCCCCCCACAAUGGCACUGAAACACGGGCCAUACACCUACGGGUGGCAG
rnacentral:rRNA from 1 species